rnacentral:misc_RNA from 1 species
AAGGAUCAUUGCUGAGCGUGCGCGUUCUAUGCGUUCCAUGCCGAAAGGUGUGGUUCGUUGGGGCGUCGCAUUUCUCUCACAAACCCAUGUGAACUCUGUGUUAUCGUGACGCGGGACGAUGAUCGCGUGCAAACGCGACCAUUUCCCCCACCACUUUUAUCGACCACAUUGACUUACUGUAUCUCUGUCUGAGACAACCACGGUUGCAAAGGGCUAACGCUCCUGUAACCUUAAAAAAACCAACAUAUCACAACUUUUAACAACGGAUAUCUUGGCUCGC